rnacentral:rRNA from 1 species
UAGGGAAUCUUCCGCAAUGGACGACAGUCUGCCGGAGCAACGCCGCGUGAGUGAAGAAGGAUUUCGGUUCGUAAAACUCUGUUGUUAGGGAAGAAAAAAUGUAUAGUAACUAUAUACAAAAGAGACGGUACCUAACCAGAAAGCCACGGCUAACUACGUGCCAGCAUCCGCGGUAAUACGUAGGUGGCAAGCGUUGUCCGGAAUUAUUGGGCGUAAAGCGCGCGCAGGUGGUUUAGAAAGUCUGAUGUGAAAGCCCACGGCUCAACCGUGGAGGGUCAUUGGAAACUAAUAAACUGGAGUGCAGGAGAGAAAAGUGGAAUUCCUAGUGUAGCGGUGAAAUGCGUAGAGAUUAGGAGGAACACCGGUGGCGAAAGCGGCUUUUUGGCCUGCAACUGACACUGAGGCGCGAAAGCGUGGGGAGCAAACAGG